rnacentral:rRNA from 1 species
AUGCCGCGAUCACAAAACUCAAACCCUCCUCUCCUCUCCUCUUCUCGUAUGCCGGCCACCCUCCGCGCCAUCCUCGCGGCCCCGAGCCCUCUCCCCGCGCGCGCGCUCCCCGCAGCCCAGGCCCUCCUCCUCACCUCGGGCCUCGCCGCGGACGCCGCCGUCCUCGCGCAUUUCGCCAGGCACUUCGCCUCCGCGACGCGCGCGCCCGCGGACGCCGUCAAGGCGCUGCUCCGCCUCCGCCCGCGCCCGCUCUGCGCGCACCCGUUCAACGCCCUCAUCUCCCACCUCACCCUCUCCGGCGAUCCCUCCGCCGCGUUCCGUGUCUUCGCGGUCCUCGCCGCUGGAGGCGACGCCGGGCGUCCAGACGGGUACACGCUCCCGGCCGCGCUCAAGGCGUGCGCGCGGCUCGGCGGCGGCCUCCGCGAGGGCCGCCAGGCGCACGCGGUCGCGGCCAGGGGCGGGUUCCUGGGGCGCCUCCCCGUCCGCAACGCGCUGGUCACGCUGUACGGCGCGUGCGGCGUGUGCGGCGACGCCAGGAGGGUGUUCGACGAAAUGGCGGGGCGGGACGUCGUGUCCUGGACCGCGCUGGUGUCCGCGUUCGUCAGGGGAGGGAGGUUCGCCGAGGCACUGGCGGUGUUUGGCGAGAUGGACGUUGCGCCGAACGAGGGGACAUUGGCUAGCACGCUGGUCGCCUGCGGGAGGCUGGGGGCUGUGCACGCUGGGAAGGCUGUGCACGGGCGGUGUCUUAAGAGGGAGAGGGAGCUGGAACUCAUCGUUGGGAAUGCCUUGCUAGAUAUGUAUGUCAAGUGCGAGAAGUUGGAUCUUGCAAGACGGGUGUUCGACAGGCUCUUGGUGAGGGACAUUGUUUCUUGGACGGUCAUGAUAAGUGGUUUGGUGCACUGCAGGCUUCCGAGCGAGGCAUUAGAGCUGUUCAAUGGGAUGCAGACAUCAGGGGUGAAGCCAGAUAAGGUUGUUCUCUCCACUGUCCUCUCAGCUUGUGCGAGCUUAGGCGCGCUGGAGUCUGGGAGGUGGGUGCAUGAAUACAUAGAGCGUAAAGGCAUCGAGUGGGAUGUGCAUGUGGGGACGUCAUUGGUUGAUAUGUACGCAAAGUGUGGGUGCUUGGAAACUUCUCUUUCAAUCUUCCAUAAGAUGCCUGUGAAGAAUGUAUCAUCUUGGAAUGCGCUGAUCAAUGGGUUCACAUUGCAUGGUCAUGGUAGGGAAGCUCUUGUGUACUUUGACAGGAUGGUGACUUCAGGCUUGCCCCCCAAUGAAGUCACCUUUAUAAUCGUCCUUGGUGCUUGCUGCCACACAGGUUUGGUGCAACAAGGCCUCGGGUUGUUUAAUUUGAUGAAAAAUUCGUACAAGCUCUCGCCAUGGGAAGAGCAUUACGGUUGCAUGGUUGAUCUUCUUGGCAGAGCUGGGCUCAUCCAGGAAGCAUAUGGUUUAGUUAAGGUCAUGCCUAUGACGCCUGCUGUGUCCACGUGGGGAGCCCUGCUGAGUGCAUGCCAAGCUCAUGGGCGUGUAGAGUUUUCACAGCAGAUUCUAAGGCAUGUCCAUGAGCUGGAGUCCUCUGGGAGUGGGGUUUAUGUACUCCUCUCAAAUUUGUAUGCUCUGAAUGAUAGAUGGACUGAUGUAAAGAGGGUGAGAGGCCUGUUGAGUGCAAAAGGCUUGUGGAAGGAGCCAGGGUCCAGUUUGAUUGAGGUGAAUGGUAAGACCAGUGAAUUUGUAGUUGGACAGACGGACCAUCAAGAUAUGGAUGCGAUAUGUGCAAUGCUUCUUAUGCUAACGAGGCAAAUACAUUUGGAUGGGCUGUAA